rnacentral:tRNA from 1 species
AGAGAUUUAGGUUAAUUCAGACCCAGGACCUUCAAAGCCCUAAGCGAGAGUUAAACUCUCUCAAGCUCUG